GCUUUCAUAGCUCAGUUGGUUAGAGCACCCGUUUAGUAAGCGGGGGAGGUCAUGAGUUCAACUCUCAUUGAAAGCA
rfam:Picea glauca, whole genome shotgun sequence.